ACGGGGUGCAGCAGGCGCGAAAACUGACCAAUGCGCGAAAAGCGUGAGUCGGUCAAUCCGAGUGUAGACCCAUCGGUUUACUUUUAUCAUGUGUACAAGGCUUGGUGAAUAAUGUGAGGGCAAGACUGGUGCCAGCCGCCGCGGUAAAACCAGCUCAUAGAGUGGUGAUCAUGAUUAUUUGGCUUAAAGUGUGCGUAGCAGGGAAUUCUAAGUCCUCUGUGAAAUGCUGGGUCUUAAGCUUAGCACGUGCAGAGGAUACUGGAAUCCUUGGGACCGGGAUAGGUGUAAUGUACGGUUUGGGUAGGGGUGAAAUCCGAUAAUCCAAGCCGGACAACCGGUGGCGAAGGCGUUACACUGGAACGGGUCCGACUGUGAGGCACGAAAGCUAGGGUCGCGAGCCGGAUUAGAUACCCGGGUAGUCCUAUGCUGUAAACGAUGCUCAUUAAGUGUUAGGUAAUGCAAGACAUUCUCUAGUGCCGAAGCGAAAGCGUUAAAUGAGCCGCCUGGAAGUACGUUCGCAAGAA
rnacentral:rRNA from 1 species